UGAGGAAUAUUGGUCAAUGGGCGGGAGCCUGAACCAGCCAAGCCGCGUGAGGGAGGAAGGCCCUAUGGGUCGUAAACCUCUUUUGUCAGGGAACAAAAGCGAGUAUGUAUACUAGUCUGAGUGUACCUGAAGAAAAAGCAUCGGCUAACUCCGUGCCAGCAGCCGCGGUAAUACGGAGGAUGCGAGCGUUAUCCGGAUUUAUUGGGUUUAAACGGGAGCGUAGGCGGCGGUGCAAGUCAGCGGUAAAAGCCCGGGGCUCAACCCCGGCGAGCCGUUGAAACUGCAGUGCUAGAGAAGGCGAGAGGUACGCGGAAUGCGCAGUGUAGCGGUGAAAUGCUUAGAUAUUGCGCAGAACUCCGAUUGCGAAGGCAGCGUACUGGCGCCUGACUGACGCUGAGGCACGAAAGCGUGGGGGAUCGAACAGGAUUAGAUACC
rnacentral:rRNA from 1 species